ACUCGAUGUUGAUUUAUUAUUACAACGGAACGGCCUAUCGAGAUUAUGCAACGAUACGUGGGGAUAUCUCAUGCCACGUAGGCGACGCCGAUGGCGACAUUGCAGGCACGUGGCACUGCACAUGCACCAAUGUUUAUAGCGGCAGUUGUGUGCGCUUUCUCGUAACUGAAUGUAAUCGUUCUCCUACAUAUGCAUGAAUACAAUGCUAAAAAUCCACAUUAGCGCGCUAUGUCACCUUCACAAUCGUGAUAAUUAUGGAACAACAAUUUUAAUCACAUAAAUAUACCGGGAAUAAAAAUUCAUCUGAAAAAUUUGUUUCAUAAAUUAUAUGAAUUUAAUUGCAUACAUAUGUAUAAAAAUAGAAAAUAGAAUAAAAAAAUAUAUCUAGAUGAUUCAUCACAGUGAUAUGAGAUACUUCAAAUUUUGUGAUCUGAAUAAAAAAAAAUCAUCAUGCAACAUUUUUAAAAUUUAUGAGAAGAAUCAGCCAUUAUCGCGAUUGCUUCGUCAUAUUGAUCGUAUUUGAAUAAAAUUUAAAUGAUAUCUUACCUGGAUCCAAAUGUUGAAGGACGCCUACCGCAAUAACCACUACUUUCAGAGCGGUUGCUGUUUCUCGAAAUCGAGCUGCCACUACUGAAAUAGAAAUUAAUGAAUAUUAGAAUUAAAUAUUAAAAUAAAUUCUUGGAUUGUUUGUUUAAUAACAAGUGGAAAAUAUAAAUAUUUUCGGAUAUCUUUAUCGUAAUAUGGAUUAUAUAAUGUAGACAUUAAUGCCUGACAAUCAAUCGACUAAACUACUGUGUUUAUUCGUUGAGUCUGACCUUGAUUAUCCGUUACUACUGAAUCUGCUUGCACUUUGAAUUUUUAAUUUUUAAAUUGAUGUACAAAUUUUUUUACUAAUAUUGUGUUAGUAUUAUUAAUGUUAGUGUAAUAUUAUUUAAAAAUAAGAAGUUAAUAUUAAAAUAAAUCUUCUUGCGUGAUAGUAACAAGUUUGCAAUAUAAAAAAAUUACUUUUAUAAAUUACUUUUAUAAAAUCCGUUAAUUAUAUUAUAACUAUUUAUUAAAAUAAUAAAAACUUUUUUAUAGAACAGAAA